rnacentral:rRNA from 1 species
UGAGGAAUAUUGGUCAAUGGGCGGGAGCCUGAACCAGCCAAGCCGCGUGAGGGAAGAAGGCCCUAUGGGUCGUAAACCUCUUUUGUCAGGGAACAAAAGCGAGUAUGUAUACUAGUCUGAGUGUACCUGAAGAAAAAGCAUCGGCUAACUCCGUGCCAGCAGCCGCGGUAAUACGGAGGAUGCGAGCGUUAUCCGGAUUUAUUGGGUUUAAAGGGUGCGUAGGCGGCGAUGCAAGUCAGCGGUAAAAGCCCGGGGCUCAACCCCAGGGCGAGCCGUUGAAACUGCAGUGCUAGAGAAGGCGAGAGGUACGCGGAAUGCGCAGUGUAGCGGUGAAAUGCUUAGAUAUUGCGCAGAACUCCGAUUGCGAAGGCAGCGUACUGGCGCCUGACUGACGCUGAGGCACGAAAGCGUGGGGAUCGAACAGGAUUAGAUACC